GUCUGCCGCGAACUUUCUUUCCGAUUCGGUUGGCUCUUCCUUCUCCGAUCGACGCGAGAUCCAUUUGAUCGCCGGCGUGAAGAGUUAAUUAGGGUUUCAAGGGUCCGAUCUUGGAUCCAACCUUCGUUCGUGUUGAUUUGGGGAUAGAAGAAUCCUUGGUACGUUGUUUCACGGAUCGGAUUGGGCGACGUUUUCUGGAGACAACCGAUUGAAGGGAGGGGAGGUUCUGUGAAGGUGAUCUUGGAUUCCCUCUGUGUCGCUGCUGAUUGAGGUCUCGGGUGAAUUGGGAAAGAACUCCAGCAGAGGUUGCUGUGGGUUUUCUGAUCCAGCAAGGUGAAGAUUUGUUUUGGUUCUUGCUGUGGUG